GACGAACGCUGGCGGCGUGCUUAACACAUGCAAGUCGAGCGGAAAGGCCCUUCGGGGUACUCGAGCGGCGAACGGGUGAGUAACACGUGAGUAACCUGCCCCAGACUUUGGGAUAACCCUCGGAAACGGGGGCUAAUACCGGAUACGACACAGCUUCGCAUGGGGUCUGUGUGGAAAGUUUUUCGGUUUGGGAUGGGCUCGCGGCCUAUCAGCUUGUUGGUGGGGUGAUGGCCUACCAAGGCGACGACGGGUAGCCGGCCUGAGAGGGCGACCGGCCACACUGGGACUGAGACACGGCCCAGACUCCUACGGGAGGCAGCAGUGGGGAAUAUUGCACAAUGGGCGGAAGCCUGAUGCAGCGACGCCGCGUGAGGGAUGACGGCCUUCGGGUUGUAAACCUCUUUCAGCAGGGACGAAGCGUAAGUGACGGUACCUGCAGAAGAAGCGCCGGCCAACCACGUG
rnacentral:rRNA from 1 species